rnacentral:guide_RNA from 1 species
AAAAUCAAAUAGACGGCGUAGAAGAUUGCAGAGUGAAUUUAAUU